GGAGCCAAUCGGAGGGCGCAGGCAGGGCGUGGGGCGCUGCCUGGUGCCCCGGGUACCUAGCGCGGGGCCGGGUCUGGUAAGCCCGGCUGUCGAUGGGAUGAGCCUGAGGCUGACCUCGAUAGCUUGGGCGCUUAACUGUUACCGUGUGCUGUAUACCCUCCCGAGCUCCGUUUCAUGGCACCGCUCUCUCUUUAAGGCAAGAACGUUCCAUUACAGGAGAGAACUUGGGUUGCGGAAGGCACAGUGGCACCAAGCGGCGUGCUGUGGAGGAACACAGGGGUUUUGGUAGACUGAAGGAAAGUUAGACUGGGGUCAGAAUGCGAAGGGACGAAGACACUAACAUUAUUGAACACCUACUAAGCUGUGAACAAAAUUCCCAUUCUCACCUCUACUAAGGGGUGUCUACUGCCGUUCUGGGAGAUUGGGCGCCUAGAUCUCCUAGAUAAGGACUUCCUUGCUCUUCUCUCAUCGCCAUAUCUCUCUGUUCAGGACAUAAAGAUUCCCCUCCGGCCGGGCGUGGUGGCUCAUGCCUGUAAUCCAAGCACUUUGGAGGCCAAGGCGGGCGGAUCACCUGAGGCCCUGGGUGACUCAGUUCUGAUUCGCUCUCUUCCAACUCGUCUCUGCCUCCUUCUGAUUCCUCCAUUGCUUCUCCUCUGCUCCUCUUCUUGUGUUAUGAAAAUACCUCAACCCUGAGCUCAGCUCUUCCCAAAGCCAGCAGAGAGAGACUAUCUUAGGAGGCUGCCAGAGUCAUGUUCAUCCCAGACCAGGGCUCCUUCCAGAAACUAGCUUAGCUGGCUAGGGUCAGACAUGGAGAGAAAUGGCAGAAGAAAGUGUCUCCAAACUGUUACUGAUGGUUGUGAUUCCACUCGGGAUUUCCCCAUCUUUAAGUUCCAGGUGUGGGGCUGGCCGUUUUGGCAAAUGCUGCAUCCAUUGGCAGGCCCAGGACCCAGUUGGUAAUUUGUGCUUGGUGUCUACACGUAUUUGAAUAAACAACUUUAUUGCCAUAUAACUGACAUACAAUAAACCAUAUAUAUUUAAGGUGUA